rnacentral:tRNA from 1 species
GGACAUAGCUCAGUAGUAGAGCACUUGCCUGCCAUGCAUGAGGUUCUGGGUUCAGUACCCUGUUCCA